rnacentral:lncRNA from 1 species
UUUAAAACUUUCAAACUGAACUUUACAUAACUGAAUAUGAAAACAUUUAGUUAUUUACAUGCUUUAUAAUACAUUCAUUUAUAUGUCUCUGUACAUCAAAAUGUGUAACAUGAAACCAAAAUGGUAAACUACUGAACUCUGGUGUCAGCUAGCUAAACUGCAGGGCCCUUGCCUCGAUCCUCAGCUACAACACUCGCACUGGAACCUGUAUGGUUAGUGGUGUGAGAACUACAAAAAAGUUCCCAGUGGGUUCGGCCGCCGACCUCGCCGACUCACCCACUAGGUCUACUCAGGCAUAUGUAGACAAAAGAAGUAAACAGAUAGUAACCAACUAAAACAUGUAACUACUACAAUGCCUGUGCAAAGCCGAAAGAAGCAAUAUAUGAAAACUGUAAAUAUGCAUGCAUGCUUUUACUGAAUUUACUCAAUCUUUUGGUUAACCCUCUGGUUAACAAUAACUCACUGACACUAUCCCAAAUUUCGGGGAGACGCAACCUGCACCCGACGGGACUGUCAACUGGGGGAGACGCAACCUCCUGGUCCAGUAAAGAUGACUACUCCGGAGCUCAUCGUUCAAGGAGGAGCGACCUUCCUUGAACAAAACUGAUGUGAGUAUGAUCUGAUUUUCCUUUAGAAGAUCCAAUGCUAAGCAAUGUCAUAUCUUAUUCCACUUAGUUCUCUAUGUCAGGUUUGAUACUAACCAAAUUUUCUAGUCAUAAUGUCACCGAGUUCACUAUGGUUAUAGUCUAUGCAUUCAUAGGGUCUAUAUUAACAUUCAAUGUUCAUAUGUUCUCACUAUUAGUAAGAAUUCAGAUAUUCCGUAAUAACUUACAUAAAGCCAAUACCCUAUAAUGCAUGAAUAUCAUGGUUCACACAUAAAUAUGCUCAAUGGAUAGUAUCAUAGACAUAAAAGGUGAUUCAAAGACUUCGGAUAGCACCACCCACCUGUAGUGGUGUCAAGAACUAAGAUCAAUGUCUCGGGACGCGUCGACAACUAUCUCUCGCGACCCAACGCAAAUAGAACUAGAACGGCCUCUACCGUAAUUAGCGCGUCGUCGACCUGUCGGAAAGUCAAUUUAGACUUUCGAGCAAGUUUAACUUUCAUGUAUAAAGGAUUAAAAGAGAUUAAACUGACAUCAUAGUCAUUUUUUAGCAAAACUUGCAUUUCUAGUCCAAUUAUCAAUGCAUAUACAUAUAUCAACUCAAUGCUGAUUUCAGCAUCAAGCUGAAAUCAGAUCUCUUGCUGUAUUUUCAGCAAUUCACUUCUUCUCGAGCCAUUAUUCUAAAUAUAGAACAAUUAGUUCUAUA